GCACGGUUAGCCAAGCGGCCAGGCAGCGGGUUGCAACCCCGUCGAGAUCGGUUCGACUCCGGUACCGUGCUCCA
rnacentral:tRNA from 1 species